GAGGGAGGGAGGAGGGAGGACAAAUCAUACUUAGUACAUAAACACACCCACACUUUUUUUAUGACCAUUUUGCUACUGUUUUGUUAAACAAUGGAACCUAUUAAAUUUUGGGAUUUUCCUCCCAACUGUGAAAAAAAUAAACAAGCAGAAUUUUAUUUCAGUGUUUGUUUUGGCAUCAGGUUUAAUUAUUUUUCUUUUCUUUUGGUUAUAUCAGCUCGCCGCCUCUGGUCUGUCAGCGUUAGCCCCUCAUACAGGAGUACUAUGGGGUUCUGGUGGAGCACAUAUUAAAAAUAAUAAAAAAACAAGCAAUUUCACAAACACCAAAACCUGGAGGAGGUUUGGGAAGAAGAGCAGAGCCUGGAGAGAAUAAAUAGAAACAGAGCUACAAACCAGAUUAAGGAUCAAAGGACCCAACUUCUUCCUAAAACAUUCGACUUUAUAAAAUACCAUCCUGGGAGCAAAAUGACUCAUUCAAAUGGCAUACAGUGUGAGGAUGGAAGGGACAGGGAGGCUGCAGAGCAGCAAGAGGCCUACAUCAGCAGUCUGGCAGAUUUGAUUUGGAAAAUUCUGAUGAUAUAUAAGAAACUAGAGAUUAAUAUCAUCCCAUAGAAUCAUUCUUCCAUUCCUUCCUCCUGUACAGAGCACCUCCACCAUGAGAGAUGCUAUGCAAGACACGACCCAGUCAAUACAUCCUUUUGAGGAAUAUCAAUUAACAUUGUCCAGCAGUUCAAGAACCUCAAGGCUGACUAUCCUUCGCAAAGGAGGCCGAACAGCUCCUGUGUCUGGAGGGCAUGGCCUGAGGCAGCACCGACACCUGGGAACAAAGAGAACCAUCCAUGGAACUCUGGGCCUUGCCUCUGGAUGGAAGAUUAAACUGCCUUACAAGGAAAGUGCCCAGGGAGAUGUGCUGGUGGGCCCUUAG
rnacentral:lncRNA from 1 species